GGCCGUGCCCGAGGGCCGCCCUCAGACACCGCGGGGGUGUCCCCAGGAGCCGCAGGGACAGCAGGGCCACCGCCGUGCGGGGAGGGCUGAACGCCGAGCGCUGCGCUCGGACUCUCGGCGUGUCGGGCAUCGGGUGCUGCCCGGCACCACGAGCCAGCCCGGCGCCGUGCCGGGGUCCCCUCACACAGCCGGCCCCGCACCGGCUCCGCCGCCACCGCCUCCCGUUGGGCUCUGUCGGUGGAGAUAGUGCGAUAACGUAAAGAACAAACAUUUUAUUGCUUGUCAUCGGUCCCGCCAGAGUUAAAACCAAGACGAUGAUGCCAAAGAUUGGCUGGUUUCCCUACUUUUCCCGGGAUGGAGUUAAAAUGUUGGGAUCUGUGUCUGUUUGCAAAUCAUCUGCUCUGUGAACAAACUGCUAUCACAAGAAUGUCAAUGAAUGAGGUGUCCUCUGCUCUCACAUCCUUCCCAGGAAAGCAGUCACAGCUCCAUGGCUUCAUGGCUCAAGAAGUGUUUGGACAAUCCUCUCAAGCACAGGAUGGGAUUGUUGGGGUGUCUGUGCAGGGCCAAAAGUUGGAGUCAGUGGUCCUGAUGGGUCCCUUCCAGCUCAGCAUAUUCUACAAUUCUAUAUGACAUCAAAAAGCUAAAUCGUAGCUUGGGAACCUGGGCUUUUCCCUCAGGUUGUAACAGCCAAGGGUUUAUUGAUGGAAAUGCCCAGCUCGUUACUUGUUUAUAAGAGAACACCUUCCUGAGACCUUUUCAGGUGUUCAGAGAAGACCCCUGAUUCUGAAAGUGUCUGAUUCUGAAAGAUAGGUUAGAGAAUUUUCGUAAGAAAAUUAUGUGGUAACUGCCAACGUGCAAACAGUGAGGCAGUGGUAAUUGGUUGUGGCAGGGUGGAACAAAGAAUGUCUGGUUUUUCACCUCAGUGGAGGAAGUUGGGAAGUUUCUGUGGUGGCACCAGUUUUUCUUUGACUUUAGAAUGAAAAGUAUGACCUGACAAUGGCUAAACCUUUUGAGAAAAUCCAUGGACUAUUCUUAGAAAGCUGAUAAUUGCAAUUGCAGGUGAUUUAACUUUAUAGUGCUGCUUUAAUAGGAAGGUUUACUGAUUUUCAGAGGCUGAGGCUCGUUUCCUACAUUGAUCUACUGCUCUGUUUCUGAACAAAAUGCAUCACUGCACCACUUCUAAAAUGUCCUUUUAUUGAAUUACUAUGUGAUUUUUAUAAGAAACUUUACUAGAAGAGUUACUUUUUGGACUAUAUAAAUAGUACUACUGUUCUCCUUUUAAAGAGUAGGAAAUAUAUGCAAAGACUGGAAACAAAGUUUCAGGUGAUCAAAAGUAACCUGAUGUAUUAGGUCUUUCUUCUAAGUGCCUUAAGUGAUUGCUUCAGAUUGCUUUUUACUCGUAGCAACUCGCAUAUUUUAGUAAGUACCCCUGAAAGUCUCUACUGUUAGCCUUAUACAGACAUUAUAAUAUAUUUUGGGAAAGUUUUCUAUGAUAGUCUAUUCCUUCUGUAAAAGCUAAAAAAAAAUCUUACUUUGAAUGUCAUUAAAAAAGUACAAAAGUCAAGAAAUAUGUGAAUGAAUGGUGUUUCUAACUCUACUGAGUUUCAAGAACCUAAUGAAAUUUAGGCUCAAUUAACCUUUACAGAAAAAAACACACAGUUUGUUAAAUUAAUGACCCUUAAAAGGAUAACACUGCACUUGUUUUCUUUGGCUGUGGUAAAAAUGUUGGUUUGCUCCAAAGCAUGUGUAUAAUCUUUGUGGUAUUGUGAGGAAGAUAGAAUUCCCAGUCAGCCCUCUUCUACUGAUUAGUGAGCAACAGAGCAUGCUGGCCAUGGGUUGAUGAAAAUGAAUACUAUAAUUCAAUUAACUCUAAUAAUCUUCUUCAAUCAACUGAUCAGUAGCUGCAGGAUUUAUUUAAUUUUUUUUUUAAUAUUCUGGCCAGCUUAGAGGGCUUUGCCAGGCAAAAUGCUAGAUAUUUGUACCUGUGUGUACUUUGUCUGAUGAUAACAACUAUUUUGUUCUGUAAUUGUUCUUUCUUACUGAAAGCCAAGAGAAACAACUAAGUGACCAUACCAUACAUUAACAGGUAAUUAGAAGGAAAAACCUAAUAGAAAAGCUCCAGAAAUCUCUCCUUAGUAGUCAACAAACCAUUAAAGCUGUGAAAAGCAGAGGAACCGUAAACCAUUUUAUCUUGCUAUGCAGUUUCACAUGGGGAGCAUUUUGAACAAGGCUAAAAGAGCUGGCACUGGAGAACCAUGGGGUGAAACCAGUAAAACCUUUUGCAGCAAAAAUAUUAACAAACAGCCACAUGUCACUGUGGUUUAGAAUGGCAGGAUAUUGUCUAUAACACCUUACAGUUUCAGCACCAGGUCCUGGUUUGUGAGUUGGAUCCUUGAGGGCAGUAUCAUGCCCUCGCCUUUGUGGCUGGGGAGGGUGUUCUUCCUGGGCAGCUGUGCUUCCAUGGGCUUUUGACACAGCAGAGCUCAGCUCCUGUCCAAACAGGGACCUUAAAAAUUCCCAUUUGAAGGGAACGGUACCCUUGCCCUGAGAGCUGAAAUUACACUUUUUCUCAAGAUGCUUGGCAUUAUUUUCAUGGGUGCUUCUUUGUGGCAUCUCUGACAGAACAUACUUCCUAAUGCAGCUUGUGAGCAGUUUAGCCUGGCUGCUCGGUGGGCACACGGGGUUUUGGGUGCAGCUGUGUUGGUGAUGAAGGAGGAUGGUGGCUGUGCAGCAGCAGCAGCAGCACAGUCCCUGCCACGAGACUUACUUCAUGCCAUAUGGAUUAAAGGUUAUGGGCAACGGGGUGCAGCCAAGAAAUCUGUGCUAGUAACUUAAUUUAGGAUUGCAGUCCUGGACCCCUGUAGAGAACUUAAUUUUUCUCAUUAGUCCCUGGACAAAUUCUUUCCAUAAAUCCAUAUAAAGAAUGCUGAUUUACUGAUUCUUUUCCUGGGGUGUGCAUAAUAAUUUACUUUCCUUUUCAAAGUUUUAAGUGUUUUACUGUUACUGAGGGAUUAAGCAGGUGGCUGUUUACAACACAAGUUUUCAAUAUGCCCACAUCCAUAGCAGAACACGAGUGUAAAACAGCAGUGAGCCAGAAACCUGUUGGAAAAGACAGCAGUGACAAAGGUUGCCCACAUUAACUGCCAAAAAACUCUCUUUCUUUAUUUUCUUCCUUUUUUUUAUUUUUUUUUUUUCUUUCUUUUUUCAGGCUGAGUGCCUGCCUGCUACACUGUGUUUUUUGCAUGAGGGUGAAGAGAGGACUUUUCUCUAUUUGUGGUAGUGUUGGCUUAUUUAGGUUGCAUAUUUUGUCCUAUUGUUAAUAUAGUUUCCAAAUAAGCAAGUCAGAGGGCAUGUAGGUUCUAAUUAGUAGUUAUCUGAGGCAACUCUCAGAGCAAAAAACUAAUUUAAAUUGUUUUGGAUCUGAACAUACUGUAUCUACUUGAGUGACAAAACGUUAGAAAGCAAAAAAGCCAAAGUUCUUUGUCGGAAGGCAAUUGCUGCAUAGCAACUGCAUAGAGAGGAUGCAGUGAAGCUUGAAUGUAUUCUCUUUUGUUGCUAUUUUUGUCCUUUUUUCUUCAUGUUCUGAAAUGUACAGAAAUUAUUGAAGUUGUUGGAAUGAGUUAUUUCAUUCAUUGCUACUUAUGCUCUAAAAUAAAAAGGAAGCAAAU